UGGGGAAUAUUGCACAAUGGGCGCAAGCCUGAUGCAGCAACGCCGCGUGAGGGACGACGGCCUUCGGGUUGUAAACCUCUUUUAGCAGGGAAGCGGUACCUGCAGAAAAAGCACCGGCUAACUACGUGCCAGCAGCCGCGGUAAUACGUAGGGUGCAAGCGUUGUCCGGAAUUAUUGGGCGUAAAGAGCUCGUAGGCGGUUUGUCGCGUCUGCUGUGAAACCCGAGGCUCAACCUCGGGCCUGCAGUGGGUACGGGCAGACUAGAGUGCGGUAGGGGAGAUUGGAAUUCCUGGUGUAGCGGUGGAAUGCGCAGAUAUCAGGAGGAACACCGAUGGCGAAGGCAGAUCUCUGGGCCGAACUGACGCUGAGGAGCGAAAGCAUGGGGAGCGAACAGGAUUAGAUACCCGUGUAGU
rnacentral:rRNA from 1 species